rnacentral:rRNA from 1 species
GACGAACGCUGGCGGCGUGCUUAACACAUGCAAGUCGAACGGUGAAGCGCCUUCCUUUUUGGUGGGUGUGGAUGAGUGGCGAACGGGUGAGUAACACGUGAGUAACCUGCCCCCUUCUUCUGGAUAACCGCAUGAAAGUGUGGCUAAUACGGGAUAUUCUGGGUCUGUCGCAUGAUGGGUCUGGGAAAGAUAUUGUUUCGGUGGGGGAUGGGCUCGCGGCCUAUCAGCUUGUUGGUGGGGUGAUGGCCUACCAAGGCGGUGACGGGUAGCCGGCCUGAGAGGGUGGGCGGUCACACUGGGACUGAGACACGGCCCAGACUCCUACGGGAGGCAGCAGUGGGGAAUAUUGCACAAUGGGCGCAAGGCUGAUGCAGCGACGCCGCGUGAGGGAUGGAGGCCGUCGGGUUGUGAACCUCUUUCGCCAGUGAAGCAGGCCUGCCUCGUUUGUGGGUGGGUUGACGGUAGCUGGAUAAGAAGCGCCGGCUAACUACGUG